rnacentral:rRNA from 1 species
AAUCAACGCUGGCGGCGUGCCUAACACAUGCAAGUCGAACGCGAAAGCCCCGCAAGGGCAAGUAGAGUGGCAAACGGGUGAGUAACACGUGGGUGACCUGCCUUCGAGCGGGGAUAACGUCCCGAAAGGGACGCUAAUACCGCAUAACAUCCUGCCUUUGAAGAGGUGGAGAUCAAAGCUGGGGAUCGCAAGACCCGGCACUUGAAGAGGGGCCCGCGUCUGAUUAGCUAGNGGUGGGGUAAUGGCCUACCAAGGCAACGAUCAGUAUCCGGCCUGAGAGGGCGGACGGACACACUGGGACUGAGACACGGCCCAGACUCCUACGGGAGGCGGCAGUGGGGAAUUGUUCGCAAUGGGCGCAAGCCUGACGACGCAACGCCGCGUGGAGGAUGAAGAUUUUCGGAUCGUAAACUCCUGUCGAAUGGGACGAACAGAUUACGGUUAACAGCCUGUAGUCCUGACGGUACCGUUAAAGGAACCCGCUAACUCCGUGCCAGCAGCCGCCGUAAU